UACGAAGGGGGCGAGCGUUGUUCGGAUUUACUGGGCGUAAAGGGCGCGUAGGCGGCGGGUCAAGUCGAGUGUGAAAGCCCCGGGCUCAACCUGGGAGGUGCGCUCGAGACUGGUCUGCUAGAGUUCGGGAGAGGAGCGUGGAAUUCCCAGUGUAGAGGUGAAAUUCGUAGAUAUUAGGAAGAACACCGGUGGCGAAGGCGGCCCACUGGCUCGAUACUGACGCUGAGGUGCGAAAGCGUGGGGAGCAAACAGG
rnacentral:rRNA from 1 species